GUGCGUCCUAUUAGCUAGUUGGAGAGGUAAUGGCUCACCAAGGCUACGAUGGGUAGGGGUUCUUAGUGGAAGGUCCCCCACACUGGCACUGAGAUACGGGCCAGACUCCUACGGGAGGCAGCAGUAGGGAAUAUUGGUCAAUGGGCGCAAGCCUGAACCAGCCAUGCCGCGUGCAGGAUGAAAGCUCUCUGAGUUGUAAACUGCUUUUGUACAGGAGCAAAAAAGUCCCUGCGGGGAUUCUUGAGAGUACUGUAAGAAUAAGCACCGGCUAAUUCCGUGCCAGCAGCCGCGGUAAUACGGAAGGUGCAAGCGUUAUCCGGUUUUAUUGGGUUUAAAGGGUGCGUAGGCGGCUUAUUAAGUCAGUAGUGAAAUCCUAGUGCUUAACGCUAGAACUGCAAUUGAUACUAUUAGGCUUGAGU
rnacentral:rRNA from 1 species